UUCUAAUCCUGAAACCCUCGUCUUUGCUUUUUCAAGUCUGAUUGGGAAUUUGAUUGAAUUUCUUUAGUGGAAAAUUAUGCAAAGUAAUAGAUUUUACCUUUUGGAACACUCGCAUGGCUUCUUCUUGAGUCUUUUCAUCUUUUCUCAUCCAUUUUGUUCUUUUUUUUUAAUAGACACAGAGUUUAUUCAUUUGAUUGCUCUUUUGAAUGAAUAAAUAGGCUGAAACAAAACAACUCAUAUAUGAACAAACUGUUUACUUUCUUCAUUUGCAACUUUUGCAGUAGAUUUGCCUUGCGAUAGUGAUGUUUUUUUGUAGUCCCUUUGACUUGGGUAGGCUUUUCCUUCGUGAUCGGCUUUGUGAAGGCAGUGAGGAAGUUCACUUCGCCGAGAGCACAACGCAAGAGAUUGGUCAAUAAGAAUGCUUUCUUACUGAAAUCAAUAGAUAAAUUGUUUCUGAAGGGAAGGAAUGAAGUAAAUAAUGCGGUUCUCUGAAAGAGCUUCUGCAAAAGUGGGGUCAAGAUAUACAAUGCAUCAAGGGGUAUUUCAAAAGGACCG